rnacentral:rRNA from 1 species
AGAGUUUGAUCAUGGCUCAGAUUGAACGCUGGCGGCAGGCCUAACACAUGCAAGUCGAGCGGUAGCACAGAGAGCUUGCUCUCGGGUGACGAGCGGCGGACGGGUGAGUAAUGUCUGGGAAACUGCCUGAUGGAGGGGGAUAACUACUGGAAACGGUAGCUAAUACCGCAUAACGUCGCAAGACCAAAGUGGGGGACCUUCGGGCCUCAUGCCAUCAGAUGUGCCCAGAUGGGAUUAGCUAGUAGGUGGGGUAACGGCUCACCUAGGCGACGAUCCCUAGCUGGUCUGAGAGGAUGACCAGCCACACUGGAACUGAGACACGGUCCAGACUCCUACGGGAGGCAGCAGUGGGGAAUAUUGCACAAUGGGCGCAAGCCUGAUGCAGCCAUGCCGCGUGUGUGAAGAAGGCCUUCGGGUUGUAAAGCACUUUCAGCGGGGAGGAAGGCGUUAAGGUUAAUAACCUUGGCGAUUGACGUUACCCGCAGAAGAAGCACCGGCUAACUCCGUGCCAGCAGCCGCGGUAAUACGGAGGGUGCAAGCGUUAAUCGGAAUUACUGGGCGUAAAGCGCACGCAGGCGGUCUGUCAAGUCGGAUGUGAAAUCCCCGGGCUCAACCUGGGAACUGCAUUCGAAACUGGCAGGCUAGAGUCUUGUAGAGGGGGGUAGAAUUCCAGGUGUAGCGGUGAAAUGCGUAGAGAUCUGGAGGAAUACCGGUGGCGAAGGCGGCCCCCUGGACAAAGACUGACGCUCAGGUGCGAAAGCGUGGGGAGCAAACAGGAUUAGAUACCCUGGUAGUCCACGCCGUAAACGAUGUCGAUUUGGAGGUUGUGCCCUUGAGGCGUGGCUUCCGGAGCUAACGCGUUAAAUCGACCGCCUGGGGAGUACGGCCGCAAGGUUAAAACUCAAAUGAAUUGACGGGGGCCCGCACAAGCGGUGGAGCAUGUGGUUUAAUUCGAUGCAACGCGAAGAACCUUACUUGGUCUUGACAUCCACAGAACUUUCCAGAGAUGGAUUGGUGCCUUCGGGAACUGUGAGACAGGUGCUGCAUGGCUGUCGUCAGCUCGUGUUGUGAAAUGUUGGGUUAAGUCCCGCAACGAGCGCAACCCUUAUCCUUUGUUGCCAGCGGUCCGGCCGGGAACUCAAAGGAGACUGCCAGUGAUAAACUGGAGGAAGGUGGGGAUGACGUCAAGUCAUCAUGGCCCUUACGACCAGGGCUACACACGUGCUACAAUGGCAUAUACAAAGAGAAGCGACCUCGCGAGAGCAAGCGGACCUCAUAAAGUAUGUCGUAGUCCGGAUUGGAGUCUGCAACUCGACUCCAUGAAGUCGGAAUCGCUAGUAAUCGUAGAUCAGAAUGCUACGGUGAAUACGUUCCCGGGCCUUGUACACACCGCCCGUCACACCAUGGGAGUGGGUUGCAAAAGAAGUAGGUAGCUUAACCUUCGGGAGGGCGCUUACCACUUUGUGAUUCAUGACUGGGGUGAAGUCGUAACAAGGUAACCGUAGGGGAACCUGCGGUUGGAUCACCU